GAUGAACGCUGGCGGCGUGCCUAAUACAUGCAAGUCGAGCGAAUGGAUUGAGAGCUUGCUCUUAUGAAGUUAGCGGCGGACGGGUGAGUAACACGUGGGUAACCUGCCCAUAAGACUGGGAUAACUCCGGGAAACCGGGGCUAAUACCGGAUAACAUUUUGAACCGCAUGGUUCGAAAUUGAAAGGCGGCUUCGGCUGUCACUUAUGGAUGGACCCGCGUCGCAUUAGCUAGUUGGUGAGGUAACGGCUCACCAAGGCAACGGUGCGUAGCCGACCUGAGAGGGUGAGCGGCCACACUGGGACUGCGACACGGCCCAGACUCCUACGGGAGGCAGCAGUAGGGAAUCUUCCGCAAUGGACGAAAGUCUGACGGAGCAACGCCGCGUGAGUGAUGAAGGCUUUCGGGUCGUAAAACUCUGUUGUUAGGGAAGAACAAGUGCUAGUUGAAUAAGCUGGCACCUUGACGGUACCUAACCAGAAAGCCACGGCUAACUACGUGCCAGCCACCGCAGUAA
rnacentral:rRNA from 1 species